rnacentral:tRNA from 1 species
AGCAGUGUGGCUCAGUGGAAAGAGCACGAGCUUGGGAAGUCAGAGGAUGUGGGUUCCAAUCCUGGCUCUGCCA